rnacentral:lncRNA from 1 species
ACUCAUUACGCAAAUACACAUCACCUGGUAUGCUUAAAUCCAAUAAGCACUCAAGUUUAUACAGCUUGAAGUUGGAAAAUAUGCAUAAAAAUUAUGAUUUGGCCAAAAUACUCACUUGCCUAAUAAUUGUGCACACAGUGUAUACUCCAAAAGCAUAGGGGGCACCAUAUCACCAGAUCAUCAGGUCAUACCUGCUGCUAACUGCUGUUACAGCUUGUUAACACCACCUGUGUCUGCAUGGUGUGUGUGACAGCAGCUCUUUAGCAGCCAUGCUCUCGGUGUGAAUGCCACGCGUGUGGGAGACGCAGCCAUCAAGCCUGAGCAGCGCAUGACGUCUCCGGCAGCCUAUGUGAACGGGGUGUUAGCGGGGAAUGCUGGUGGGAGCCAGAAUGGGCACCAGAACCCGACUCAGCAGCCUCCCAGUGAACACAGACGAAAAGUUUGACCACGGGGAUUAGGCUACAGUACCAGGGUAAUUUACAGCCUCUCCGGCCAGGACUCUGACUGUGGGGACGGUGAAGACACAGAGGGUUAAAGCGGGGACAGAAGAGGCAGCACCAAACCAAAGUUGGUCAUUGUUGGAACAGUGGAAAUACUAACCGAAAUUAUUUUGAAUGAAGUCACUGAAUGAAGGCAAUUAAAAAAAGAAACAGAGAGAAACUUAUACAAUCGUGUACAAUCAGUUUUCUGUUUAGUAAGAAAAACAGCAAUGUAGGAGCCGCAUUUCGUCAAUCACAUGCAGCGGAUAAAUACUCCUCAGACAUUUUGCUCAUCCUCUUCCUCUGCUGGUGAGCUUUCUCCUUCCAGUUCAAGGGUUCAGCAUUCCUGGCACACUGCCACUCAUCAAAUAUUCACCCAGAGAAGAAGUGGACACAUCUGUUUGAUUGUGGAUAUGAGUCAGUCAACAGCAGACCUACGUCAUAGUCCGGGUUCAAGGGAAGGACAUAUACUGCAACACCACAUAAAUAGAUGUUGAGGUUGGAGGACUGAUUUGUACCAAGUUUACCCCUAAAACAAUCCAACACAAGUCAGGAGAGAAGCAAAACCACGUCGGAGCCAAGAUGUUGCUCCACUUUCCCUGAAUUACAGUAAUCUGUUUGAAGCCGUGGCACAGUCACUGUUUGUUUUGAUGUUAAAGGUUGUGGCUGUGCCAUGGUGACCGGGCAUGAGGGGCUGAGCCUCGAGAGGAAAGAGAAGAGGGAGUGGACGGGAGGAGGGAGAGAUGGAAGGAGAAGGACACAGUGAGACCAGCAGAGCAGUCUAUGUACUGAAACAUUAUGGCUUCAGACUUCAGAAUCUCAAUAAUAAAUCGACUGGCAAUCUUCCCAAAUGACCACAGCUGGUUUGCAUCCCUACCGAGGAAGCAAUAAUUUAUUUAAAAUGUUGAGGAGGGCUAUUCGGUUGGGCCCACAAAUUAGAUCUAAGCACAUAACCCAUGAGUCAUGAGGCUCUCUGUCUUGGAUUCUAUGUCAUCUCCUCUUCCCUCCUCUUUUCUCCAGCUUGUUCCUGUUCACUUUUAGUAACCUGAUUAUAGUCUUUUGUCUCAGUGUGUCACUGUAAACUUGUGAUAAUGGGCACAUUAAAAUGUGGCUGAUGUUAUUCAGUUGAGCUCAGUGAGUUAGACAUUGUCAUAUUAGAUGCUAAAUUCAUACUGUAACCAGCUGUGCUUAAAAACAAAUUGCUUAUUGCUUUUUUUGCACUCUUGUUGAAAGUUUGAUGCAUGAGCAAUACCAGACUCAUGUCUGUACCUUAAAUAUGUGGCUGAAGCUAGCAGGAGCCAGUUAGGAGCUUAUCAUAAAGACUAGAAACAGUGGGGAAAAGCUAUAGUUCUGUCCAAAUGUGACCAAACAUGGCCCUAAAGCUCACUAAUUAAACUGUUAAGGGUUGUUUGUAGUCUAAAUGUUGCUAGCAAGUUAGUUCCAGUAAGUUUUUAAGUCUGUCUUUUAGAGUUAGUCAGCCUUAAAAGUGUCUUAGCCUAGUUUAACCUACAGGAGUUUCUGUAGCUUCAAUAUAAAUAUAAAUAAAUCUUUUCAUCUAACUCUUGGCAAGAAAUCAAAUAAGCAUAUUCCCCACAGAGCCAAUUUAGAUUUUGGUUUUAUCCUGUCAUAGUAAAACAUUUUUAUUGUUCUAUUUGCUUCUUCACACUGGUUGUG